AAUUGGCCUGUUUUCAUUCUCUAUCUCAUCUCCCAUCAGCUCAAAAGCUUCUCUUCAAAAAGAAAUAGGUUGCAGAGGGUGAUGGCAACAGUGUAAAGGUAGUAUGGUGCUGUGGAAAGAACAGUGAAUUUGGAGUCAAAAGGGUUGGAUUCAGAUCCUGAUUCUGACACCUAUGUGACCUUGGGUAUACGGACUCCUUGAAAUUUCCUCGGACCUCACAUCAAGAAUCCCUGCUGUAGGGCAUGGCCAGAUCUAAAAGACUCACAUGAGAAUGACAAAGCUAUAAACAAACCAAGACCAAAACUACGAUGAGUUUUCACAGACUACAAGCAAGAAUCCCAAAUACUGAUAUGCUAGAUCACCUAGUUGUUUAGCUUUGUUGUUGUUUUUUCAGUUGCAAGGCCUUCAUGGAAACCAUGGCACCAUUUUGCUUUAUUAAACUAAAAGCCAUCCCUGCA